UGUUUUAAAUAAAAAAGAUAUUUUUAAAAAUUAAUUGCUUCAAAUUAAAUUAAAAUUAGUCAAAAUAAAAUAAUUUUCGUGAUCAACUUUUUUAGUUUUUUAUCAUAAAAAGAUACUCUUGUCAUCAUCUUAUAAAUAGCCUAUUAGAUUGGUUUUCUUGUAAACCAUUUAACAUAAUUUUACAUUUUUAUCUAGUCAUCUUAUAAGUAGAAUGGCAACCCACAACAAUAUCCUCCUCUUUACCUUUGUAGUUUUGUGCAUUGUUUCCAUGGUGGUUGCAGGAGUACUAGAUGAGACAUUACAUUGCUUUCAAGGAAUAUGCCCUAAUUUCAACUGUGCCAAAUUUUGCUCUGGUGCAAAAGGCUACCCUAGAGGUGGUUACUGUUUGGGGGACUCACAAUUGUGUUGUUGCAUUGGAGCUUGAGAGAUCUAUGAUUGAUAAUUGUAUUUUCUCAACAUCAUUCUGCAAUUUAGUAUUUAUGUUUUUUUUAUUAAAAUAAGAUGAUUAGAAAUCACUAUUCUAACUUCAUUUCAAUAAAAGAAUUCACUUGUGUCAA